rnacentral:rRNA from 1 species
GAUGAACGCUGGCGGCGUGCUUAACACAUGCAAGUCGAACGAUGAAGCCCAGCUUGCUGGGUGGAUUAGUGGCGAACGGGUGAGUAACACGUGAGUAACCUGCCCUUAACUCUGGGAUAAGCCUGGGAAACUGGGUCUAAUACCGGAUAGGAGCGCCUACCGCAUGGUGGGUGUUGGAAAGAUUUAUCGGCUUUGGAUGGACUCGCGGCCUAUCAGCUUGUUGGUGAGGUAAUGGCUCACCAAGGCGACGACGGGUAGCCGGCCUGAGAGGGUGACCGGCCACACUGGGACUGAGACACGGCCCAGACUCCUACGGGAGGCAGCAGUGGGGAAUAUUGCACAAUGGGCGAAAGCCUGAUGCAGCGACGCCGCGUGAGGGAUGACGGCCUUCAGGUUGUAAACCUCUUUCAGUAGGGAAGAAGCGAAAGUGACGGUACCUGCAGAAGAAGCACCGGCUAACUACGUG